rnacentral:lncRNA from 1 species
AUAAUAAAUAGCUGCAUAAAACAUAAGCAAACAUAUUGUCCCACAUCACUAACUGACUUUUCAAAGAGAACUCCUGGGAGAAAUUUCUCUCAAAUCUCCAUGCCAGAAAAAAAAAAAAAAGAGUUGUAUUUGUCCUUAGUAAUGGAAAUGUUUUUAUGCUAUGUCUUUGUGACUUCUGUAACUAUUAAGUGUCCAUUCCUGUUUUUACUGCAACAAAUGCAACCAAAAUUUGUGGUUCAUUUAUAGCUUACCUGUGAUUUUAUCUUAUUUUUUCCACCCCAAUUUUAUAAUAUCAUUUUAACCUCGUGUGUGUCUAUUAAAUAAGCUGUCUUAAAUUCUUUUUAGGAGAAUCUAUGAUAAAACAUAAUCAUAAUUUAAAGGCUGCAUUAUUAAUUUCCUGUGUAAGAGACUCUAAUGUUGUAUUAAGUGUUGCCUUUGCCAUCUAUGUCCAACAUUAAACCUAACUUCUCCAUCGUCUGCAGGAAUGUUUACAUUCCUGUUCACAAGCAAUUGUGAUCUAAGAGAUAUCAGUUAUAGAUAUGAAUCUACAAGUAUUGGAGUCUGCCUGUUGAGGUUCCAUUGAGUGUAAAUUCAAUCCUGUGGAUCUGGAAAAGAUUAUGGGAUAUAAACAGAUGGAACCAAGGGACAGAAGCCUGGGAAAAGUGAUCAGGCCUGGAGAUGCACAAGCAAGAUUUUGGAGUUUACACCAAAGUGAGAAUUAAUGAUUAAAUUAUGAACUUGGAGAGAAAAAUGAGAUUCUGAAGUUUGGGAUGGAGGAAAAUGGUAGAAAAGGAUCAGAGAGAGAGCCUGGGAAGAUGACAGUUUUUUUGAAGGCAGAAGUGGCAUCUCUUCUGAAAGAAAAGAUAGGAAUGAAUGAAGAGCUACCUUGCCAUGAAGAUUCAUUACCUUUUCUUUGCUCUUUUCUUCCUUGGCCAGCUGUCUACCUCAGUUUAUCUUCUUCAGCAAGUUCUUCUUUCAGUUCAGAAUAUCCUCAAGCAGGAUGAGCCUGGAGAAAAACUGUGAAAUUAUUGGAGUUUACCUUUAAAACCAUAAAAUGAUAAGGGCCUGAUAGGGUUAAGAAUCAAAAGAAAGGAAUGGUGGGCCAGGCACGGUGGCUCACACCUGUAAUCCCAACAAUUUGGGAGGCCAAGGUGGGCAGAUCACAAGGUCAGGAGUUCAAGACCAGCCUGACCAACACGGUGAAACCCCGUCACUACUGAAAAUACAAAAACUAGCCUCAGUCGUGGUGGUGCAUGCCUGUAAUUCCACUACUCAGGAGGCUGAGGCAGGAGAAUCACUUGAACUUGGGAGGCAGAGGUUGCAGUGACCUGAGAUUGUGCCACUGCACUCUAGCCUGGGCGACAGAGCAAGACUUCGUCUCAAAAAAAAAAAAAAAAAAAAAAGAAAGGAAUGGUGGAAAGAGAUAAUGUAAGGAAGAUGAAAAACACUGAUGGUAUAAAGGAGAGAAGACAGAGGAGGAGCCAGUGAUGGAAUGAUGGCACAGAAGGAGUUUGUGAGGGAUUUAGAAAGUGGUGGUGCUGUUAAUAGAAAUGUGAAUGCAGGGAAGAGGAGCUGAUUGAGAUGAAGCCAGUGAAAAUGAUUUUAGAAAUUGUUACCUUGAAGUGACAGCAAGACUUCUAACUGGAGAUAAUGCAGUAGAGAUAUGAGACUAGGAAGAAGCUUGUGGCUGAUGAUAAACAUUGUGGGAUCCUUCCAAAAAAAGGACAGCCCUGAAGUUAUGUGAAUAAUUUACUACCUCAAGGGCAAUUCUCCCUGUCUCCUUUCUCUUUCUCUUGGGCCUGUUCUGGACAUCUUGGUAAUAAGUGUCUGUAUUAGUGGAGGACAAGGGCAACACAGAAAACAUCCACUCUCUUUUCUUCCUUUUUUCUCCUCUCUCUUCUCACCUUCCUUACUCUUCUCCCCUCUACCUUUUGGUUUUUUCUUGUUCCUGAACAUAUAAGGAAGCUUACAAAUUACAUACAAUGCAUGGGUUUUUUAAAAGCGAAAUAAUUAGUAAGAAGAUUCAGGCAGAGGAAAAUCAGCUUAGAAAAAAGUAAUUUGCAAGAGUGAUGAUGUUGUUUUCUAAAAUGGCCCUGGGUGAGGUAACUGAAAGUGGAGGGUAGUAGAAGUCCUUGACGUGGAUUUCAGAUAGGAAUGGAGUGGUAUAUAUUGCCUCCUGAGAAACUGUGCCUAAGAUUUAUACCCCAGCGGCCCUCACCUGCCUGCAAUGGCAGAACAUCCAGCAUGUAUGAUGUUCAGUACUGAUCUUCUAGAAAGCCUAGCAUUGGGCUCUCUCGGGAUUGUCCAAUAAUGCUAGGCUUAUACAGUCCAAAGGGAGGUCAACUGUUUUUCUGCACCAAGUGAGGUGUACCUGCAGGCCCUGUCAGUCCCUUCUGAAAUAUAUUUUUUAAUCUGAUUGAAAACUAUUUUGCUACCAUGGGCCAUUCUCAUCAAUAUUUUCCCACAAAGCUUUAUAUUUGAAGUCUAUUGCAAGUAAGUAUAUCCUUGUUUUUGUUCAUCUAUCUGUUUAUUUUUAGGAACUGAAGAUGCUUAUGAAGUCAUUAGUAUCAUGGACUGUAAAAAUCAAACACUGUGUAAUUCUCAGAAUACAACUAGACACUGCUCUCAUGGGAAGGAGAUUGAACUAUGUGUCUUGCGUCUUGGAAAAAAUGCAAAGCGACUCACUAACCAUGAAGAAACAGCAAAUUAGGAAGACAGGAUGAUCAAUUUCCUUGUCUUAUUAAAAAAUAAAGUCUGCUUUCUUUUCUCUCUC